CAAAUGAGAAUACCGGCUGAACUUAAGCAAUAUCAACUAAGCCGAGGAAAAGAAACUAACAAGGAUACCCUAAGUAACGGCGAGUGAACCGGGUAAUGCUCAAUCUUAAAAUCUGUGUCCCUCAUGGGGCAUCGAAUUGUAGUUUUUUGAUAAUCAUCCCCUCUUCUUUUAAUAUAAUUAAAGUCUCUUGGAAUAGAGUGUCAUAGAAGGUGAGAACCCUGUGAAUAGUUUUAUUAAAGGGAGGAUAUUGAGUUUGAUUAUCAUAGAGUCGGGUUGUUUGGGAAUGCAGCCUAAAAAGGGUGGUAAAUCUCAUCUAAAGCUAAAUAUUUGGUAAGAGACCGAUAGAAUACAAGUACCGUGAGGGAAAGAUGAAAAGAACUUUGAAAAAGAGAGUUAAAAAGUACUUGAAAUUGUUAACUGGG
rnacentral:rRNA from 1 species